rnacentral:snRNA from 1 species
AACAGCUCUUACUGUUAUUGGAACGAUACAGAGAAAAGUGGCAUGGCCCCUGCGCAUUGGAUGACAACACAAAUCGAGAAGUGUACCAGAUUCAA